rnacentral:rRNA from 1 species
AGAGUUUGAUCCUGGCUCAGAUUGAACGCUGGCGGCAUGCCUUACACAUGCAAGUCGAACGGCAGCAUGAUGUGUAGCAAUACACGUUGAUGGCGAGUGGCGAACGGGUGAGUAAUAUAUCGGAACGUGUCCUGUAGCGGGGGAUAACCUAUCGAAAGAUGGACUAAUACCGCAUACGCUCUACGGAGGAAAGCGGGGGUCGCAAGACCUCGCACUAUAGGAGCGGCCGAUAUCGGAUUAGCUAGUUGGCGGGGUAAAAGCCCACCAAGGCGACGAUCCGUAGCUGGUCUGAGAGGAUGAUCAGCCACACUGGAACUGAGACACGGUCCAGACUCCUACGGGAGGCAGCAGUGGGGAAUUUUGGACAAUGGGCGCAAGCCUGAUCCAGCCAUGCCGCGUGAGUGAAGAAGGCCUUCGGGUUGUAAAGCUCUUUCGGCAGGAACGAAAUGGUUCGUGUUAAUACCACGGACUGAUGACGGUACCUGAAGAAGAAGCACCGGCUAACUACGUGCCAGCAGCCGCGGUAAUACGUAGGGUGCAGGCGUUAAUCGGAAUUACUGGGCGUAAAGCGUGCGCAGGCGGUUUCUUAAGUCAGAUGUGAAAGCCCCGGGCUUAACCUGGGAACUGCGUUUGAAACUGGGAGACUUGAGUGUGGCAGAGGGGGGUGGAAUUCCACGUGUAGCAGUGAAAUGCGUAGAUAUGUGGAGGAACACCGAUGGCGAAGGCAGCCCCCUGGGUUAACACUGACGCUCAUGCACGAAAGCGUGGGGAGCAAACAGGAUUAGAUACCCCGGUAGUCC